GGCUUAGAGUUUGAUCAUGGCUCAGGAUUAACGCUGGCGGCGCGCCUAAUACAUGCAAGUCGAAUGGUAGCAAUACCAUGGCGAACGGGUGAGUAACACGUAGGUAACCUGCCUUAAAGACGAGGAUAACCUUUGGAAACGAAGGAUAAUACUGGAUAGGAUAAUUUGAAGCAUUUUGGAUUAUUUAAAGGAGCGAUCCGCUUUAAGAGGGGCCUGCGGCGCAUUAGCUAGUUGGUGAGGUGAAGGCCCACCAAGGCGAUGAUGCGUAGCCGGACUGAGAGGUUGAACGGCCACAAUGGGACUGAGAGCGGCCCAUACUCCUACGGGAGGCAGCAGUAGGGAAUUUUCGGCAAUGGGGGGAACCCUGACCGAGCAACGCCGCGUGAACGAAGAAGUUAUUCGUAAUGUAAAGUUCUUUUAUCAGGGAAGAAAAAACAAAUUGACGGUACCUGAUGAAUAAGCUCCGGCUAACUACGUGCCAGCAGCCGCGGUAAUACGUAGGGAGCGAGCGUUAUCCGGAAUUAUUGGGCGUAAAGGGUGCGUAGAUGGCAUAAGAAGUCUAUUGUAAAAGUGCUAAGCUUAACUUAGUGAGGCAAUAGAAACUCUUAAGCUAGAGUAUAACAGAGGCAAGUG
rnacentral:rRNA from 1 species